rnacentral:rRNA from 1 species
AACGAACGCUGGCGGCAGGCCUAACACAUGCAAGUCGAACGCUCCGCAAGGAGAGUGGCAGACGGGUGAGUAACGCGUGGGAACGUGCCCUUUGGUUCGGAAUAUUCCCGGGAAACUGGGAGCAAUACCGGAUAAGCCCUUCGGGGGAAAGAUUUAUCGCCAAAGGAUCGGCCCGCGUCAGAUUAGCUAGUUGGUGAGGUAAUGGCUCACCAAGGCUACGAUCUGUAGCUGGACUGAGAGGAUGAUCAGGGACACUGGGACUGAGACACGGCCCAGAAUCUUACGAGAGGCAGAAGUGGGGAAUCUUGAACAAUGGGCGCAAGCCUGAUCCAGCCAUGCCGCGUGGAUGAUGAAGGCCCUAGGGUUGUAAAAUCCUUUCGACGGGGAAGAUAAUGACGGUACCCGUAGAAGAAGCUCCGGCUAACUUCGUGCCAGCCGCCGCCGUAA